rnacentral:rRNA from 1 species
AUACGGAGGAUGCAAGCGUUAUCCGGAUUUAUUGGGUUUAAAGGGUGCGUAGGCGGAUGAUUAAGCGUGAGGUGAAAUGCCACUGCUCAACAGUGGAACUGCCUCGCGAACUGGUUGUCUUGAAUGCUCCUGCCGUGGGAGGAAUGUGUGGUGUAGCGGUGAAAUGCAUAGAGAUCACACAGAACACCGAUUGCGAAGGCAUCUCACGAAGGGGUGAUUGACGCUGAGGCACGAAAGCGUGGGGAUCAAACAGGAUUAGAUACCCUGGUAGUCCACGCAGUAAACGAUGAUGACUAACUGCCGGCCCGUUGCGGGUCGGUGGCCAAGCGAAAGCGAUAAGUCAUCCACCUGGGGAGUACGACCGCAAGGUUGAAACUUAAAGGAAUUGGCGGGG